rnacentral:rRNA from 1 species
AAAACAAGGUCUCUGUUGGUGAACCAGCGGAGGGAUCAUUACUGAGUUUACGCUCUAUAACCCUUUGUGAACAUACCUAUAACUGUUGCUUCGGCGGGUAGGGUCUCCGCGACCCUCCCGCUCCCGCCUUUCCGGGCGGGUCGGCGCCCGCCGGAGGAUAACCAAACUCUGAUUUAACGAUUUCUUCUGAGUCGGGUACAAGCAAAUAAUCCCAAAACUUUUUUAACAACGGAUCUCUUGGUUCUGGCAUCGAUGAAGAACGCAGCGAAAUGCGAUAAGUAAUGUGAAUUGCAGAAUUCAGUGAAUCAUCGAAUCUUUGAAAACGCACAUUGCGCCCGCCAGCAUUCUGGCGGGCAUGCCUGUUCGAGCGUCUUCAACUCAAGCUCUGCUUGGUGUUGGGGCCCUACAGCUGAUGUAGGCCCUCAAAGGUAGUGGCGGACCCUCCCGGAGCCUCCUGCGUAGUAACUUUACGUCUCGCACUGGGAUCCGGAGGGACUCUUGCCGUAAAACCCCCCAAUUUUCCAAAGGUUGACCUCGGAUCAGGUAGGAAUACCCGCUGAACUUAAGCAUAUCAAUUUA